rnacentral:rRNA from 1 species
UACGUAGGGUGCGAGCGUUGUCCGGAAUUACUGGGCGUAAAGAGCUCGUAGGUGGUUUGUCGCGUUGUUCGUGAAAACUCACAACUCAAUUGUGGGCGUGCGGGCGAUACGGGCAGACUGGAGUACUGCAGGGGAGACUGGAAUUCCUGGUGUAGCGGUGGAAUACGCAGAUAUCAGGAGGAACACCGGUGGCGAAGGCGGGUCUCUGGGCAGUAACUGACGCUGAGGAGCGAAAGCGUGGGGAGCGAACAGG